rnacentral:lncRNA from 1 species
GGGGGUUGAUGUGGAUGGAAGGUGAUAGAUGACUAGUAAUAAGAAAAGGGAAAUGACUAAGGAAAGAGGGUUUCCCCUAAGGGAUAAAUCCUAGGUUUUUGAUUGAGACUCGGUGUAUCUUUUCCUUCUACUUUCUCCUUCUUAUAUAGGCACCAGAUAGCUUACUUUUCUCGUUGACUUCGCGUUUAAUGCGGACUUUCGCGAUAAGCACACCUUUGAGCUUCUUCGUGGGCCUUUUUCGCGUUAAUCGUGUGUUGUACGCUGAGCGAGAGUGCACGUUGGGCCUGUCUAGUACGCUAA